rnacentral:misc_RNA from 1 species
GAAAUGCGAUAAGUAAUGUGAAUUGCAGAAUUCAGUGAAUCAUCGAAUCUUUGAACGCACAUUGCGCCCGGCAGUAAUCUGCCGGGCAUGCCUGUCCGAGCGUCAUUUCUGCCCUCGAGCGCGGUUCGGCCCUGAGGGCCGUCCGCCGCCCGGCGUUGGGGCGCUACCGGGACAUCCCCCGUAGGCCCCGAAAUGUAGUGGCGGUCCCGCCGCGGCGCCCCCUGCGUAGUAGACAUACAAUCGCAUCGGGUCCCGGCGGAGGCCAGCCGUCAAACCUUCCACUGAUAGUUUGACCUCGGAUCAGGUAGGGUUACCCGCUGAACUUAA